UACGUAGGGGGCGAGCGUUGUCCGGAUUUAUUGGGCGUAAAAGGCUUGUAGGUGGCCACGUCAAGUCGGAUGUGAAAUCUCCCGGCUCAACUGGGAGGGGUCAUUCGAUACUGGCGGGCUCGAGGCCGGUAGGGGGAAGCGGAAUUCCCGGUGUAGUGGUGGAAUGCGUAGAUAUCGGGAGGAACACCGAUGGCGAAGGCAGGUCUCUGGGCAUUAACUGACGCUGAGGAGCGAAAGCAUGGGGAGCGAACAGG
rnacentral:rRNA from 1 species